rnacentral:tRNA from 1 species
GGAGGGGCCCUGGCUGAGUGACAGAGCGUCUGCUCGACAUGCGGAAGCUCCCAGGUUCCAUCCCCGGCCUCUCCA